UGAAUACGAGACGCUAAGGCGUCGAAGUAGUGUAUGUCAUACUUCCAAGAAAAGCUUACACUGUCAUAGAUAAAAAACGCCUGUACCAUAACCGACACAGGUGGGUAGGUAGAGUAUACUAAGGGGCGCGAGAUAACUCUCUCUAAGGAACUCGGCAAAAUAACUCCGUAACUUCGGGAGAAGGAGUGCCUUAUUAUUAAGGCUGCAAUAACAAGAUCCACGCAACUGUUUAUCAAAAACACAGGUCUCCGCUAAGUCGUAAGACGAUGUAUGGGGGCUGACGCCUGCCCAGUGCCAGAAGGUUAAAGAAGUUGGUUAGCAUUUGCGAAGCUGAUAACUGAAGCCCUGGUGAACGGCGGCCGUAACAAUAACGGUCCUAAGGUAGCGAAAUUCCUUGUCGGGUAAGUUCCGACCCGCACGAAAGGCGUAAUGAUUUGGAUACUGUCUCGGAGAGGGGCUCGGUGAAAUAGACUUGUCUGUGAAGAUGCGGACUACCUGCACCAGGACAGAAAGACCCUAUGAAGCUUUACUGUAACUUGAAAUUGAAAUUGGACUUUAUUCGCGCAGCAUAGGUGGGAGGCGUUGAUUAUAAUCUUGUGGGAUUAUUGGAGCCAUCAGUGAGAUACCACUCUUGUAAUGUUAGGUUUCUAACUUUGAAUCAUUAUCUGGUCAAAGAACAGUUUCAGGCGGGCAGUUUGACUGGGGCGGUCGCCUCCUAAACGGUAACGGAGGCGUACAAAGGUUUCCUCUGAACGGUUAGAAAUCGUAUCUAGAGUGUAAAGGCAUAAGGAAGCUUGACUGUGAGACCUACAAGUCGAGCAGGGACGAAAGUCGGUCUUAGUGAUCUGACGGUACUGAGUGGAAAGGCCGUCACUCAACGGAUAAAAGUUACUCUAAGGAUAACAGGCUGAUCUCCCCCAAGAGUUCACAUCGACGGGGAGGUUUGGCACCUCGAUGUCGGCUCAUCGCAUCCUGGGGCGGUAGUACGUCCCAAGGGUUGGGCUGUUCGCCCAUGAAAGCGGUACGCGAGCUGGGUUCAGAACGUCGUGAGACAGUUCGGUCCAUAUCCGGUGUAGGCGUUAGAAUAUUGAGAGGAGCCUUCUUUAGUACGAGAGGACCGAGAAGGACAUACCUCUGGUGUACCAGUUAUCGUGCCAACGGUAAACGCUGGGUAGCUAUGUAUGGAGUGGAUAACCGCUGAAAGCAUCUAAGUGGGAAGCCCACCUCAAGAUAAGUAUUCUC
rnacentral:rRNA from 1 species